GGAGAAGGGGGGUGGGGGAUGGGGAGGACGAAAGGCUGGGUUGGGGCAGGUGGGGGAGAGCGUUGGGCAGGGUAAGGGAGAGGCGAGCGAGAUGGUUGUUUGGUUGGCGGUCUGACUGGCUACUGCUGCCCCACUCCACGCCUCCAGCCAGUCACCCAGUUAACCAGCCAGUCACCCAACCAGUCACCCAGUCAGCCAGCCAGUGCGCGAAUCAGACAACCAGUUAUUCAGACAAGUAAUUACCCAAGCAAAUAAACUCUCCCUGUCCCUCCCACUCAGUCAGUUAUCCAGUCAGACAGUCAAUCACUCAUCCAGUCAGUUAUCCAUCCAGGUAGACGAACACACUCAGUUUUGUUGUUCUCACGCGAUACGGCAGACAGUCAAACAGCCAUUCAGUCAGUCAACCAGCCAGUCAUCCAGCCAGUCAGCCGAACACAUUCACUCCUAUUGUUUACACACGAUAAGCCAGUCAGCCAACCAGUCAUUCACCCAGCUAGCCAAUCAGUUAUUCACCCAGCCAGCCAACCAGUCAGCCAGUCAUUCACCCAGCCAGCCAGCCAGUCAGCCAGUCAUUCGCCCAGCUAGCCAACCAGUUAUUCACCCAGCCAACCAGCCAGUCAUUCAGCCAAUCAGCCAACCAGUCAUUCAGCCAGUCAGCCAACCAGUCAACCAGCCGAACACUCCCACUCCCUGUCACUCCCACGCGACUAGUUUCAGAAUCCUCACACUCCCAGGAUCCGCCUGUGGGAGAGAGCACAAAGAAAUCGUUAAAAGUGGAAGGCAAGUGGAAGGAAGGAAGGAAUAAGUCAAAGGCAUGUCCUGUGUUAAGGCGCCGGUUAGAGGGUCGCCUGCUCCACGCUGCCACGCUUAAUAACUUGCCUCGUUAUCAGUAUUUCCAAACUUGUAUUGCUCUGAGGGAAGCGACGCUGUAGUACUUCCUUCGUUUUUUUGCUUCCCCUGUUUGACAUCUGCUGUUAAACUCCUGUCCACUCUGCUACGUGUAUCUCGCCUCCCCGUCGCCCCUUCUUCCCCUCCCUUUAUAUUUCUCACUCACUGCCUUCCCCUCGUAUAUCGUCACCCUCACAAAUUAAUCGCCUUAGUCAAUUUUCAGCGAUUUCCAGGUUUUUGUUUACAUCAGUUUUUCAUCAUGUGACGGCCAUUCUUGUAUAGUUGCCUUCGUUAUUCAGGGUUUGAGUGUUCUAGAAUUGGCCUUUUCAUUCCUGCCUAAAUCUUAAGCCAAAUGAGAUGAUGACAGUUCUUUUCUGAUUUCCUGUAAAGUAGAAAAUAAUGACUUAGGCGGCUUGUUUACGAAGGUGACGAUAUAUAUCUUUCACUUACCUUUCCUCUCCUCGCAUCUCUCGCUAACCUAUUUUGCCACUCUAGCUCUUAAGUCAACUCUGCUGUAUUGUCUGACGUACCUUUUCUUCUGUAUCCGCACCCUUGUCCUCCUCCUCCCUCACUUCCCUCCCCUCAUGUCCCUCGCCCUCACUCUCUUCACGUCUCCAAAGGCUGCAUCACGAACAAUAUUUUUUCAUCAUUUUCUGGCUCUGUAAUCUCCCAGUGCAUGCGAGUAUCCAAAGUGCCGGUGUGUCGCUGACCGAACUGUACGGGCACGUCUUCCGGGCAUGACCUCCGGAAGUGCUUGACUUGCUAUGAUUGCUACAUGUAAAAAAGGGGUGUAUGGACCUGUUAGUGGUUGGCAAUUGAGUGGAAAGAGGGUAUCAUCGAGCACUUACGAUCUGCAGACAUCUAGGCUCUUUUGCUCAAACACAGAAUAUCACAGGAGGUUACCAGGACCGGCUUACCUUCGUGGUGUCUCCAGACUUUUUCAGUACCAUGCGAGCAGAAUUAAAGCUGUUACAUUGAGUUUGGUCUCGAAUACAAGCAAAGAUUCCAUAACCUAGUAUCAAGAAGACGGUCAUGGACGAACUGUCAGUGCGGACAUGUAUAGUUGUCCCAAGAUCCUCUCACUGGUAGACAAACACCAAAAAAUGCUAGAAAAUUGGUUCCUGUGGCUCCGUCUUUAUUCUCACGUCCGCUCUGCUGCGUUAUCUCACGUUCAUCGGUUCUCAGUCUUACCCACGUCCUCCCCCCUCCCCCCUCCCCCCACCUCAUUACCCACACUCUCACUCCUUUCAGUGUUGUAACUCCUACGUCCACCAUGCUACACCGCCUCACAUCCCUCCAGCACCUUUGAUCUCAUUUUUAUCUUCCUCCUCCUUUACUUCCUCCUCCCUCCCUUCCCUUGCUCUCGAUCGUUAAUGCAAUACAAAGGUUAUAUUCUGAGAUAAUUUGUCCUUUCCCCUUUUUAUUCUUCUUCCUCUCUUGGACCGGAACACAUUUUAGGAGAGAGCAACGGGUUAAUACCUUCCAAAGUUAACCAGUCUCAAAGUUUUCUUAAUUAUUAUUAUUAUUACUUUUUUUUCGUGGGUCAUUGCGAACUCUUUUCCCGUUUUAACUUCAACGUAAACCCGCGUCCAUUCGUGCAUAUAAACGGUCCUAAAGGUGAUAUCAGUCCUGUGAGAGAUAUAAGUAAUUUGAGUGUUAGCAGUCCAAUAGGUGAUGUAUGGGUGAAAUUAGGCUUGCUUUUUAAUUUUUUUCCGUGCAUGUGAGAAAAUCGACCGUAAGAAACACACGUGGGUCUUGUCCUGCCCCGAGGUCGCGAUAUGCAGAUGAGAAGCAAAAGGAAAUGAACGAGUGACGGCAAACAUACAAUGAUUCACACAUAUAUACAAAAAAAAAAGACAACAUGGACAUAUUUACUAUUCGGGGAAGGAGGAGAAGGAGGAGGAGGAAAGGAAAUGCCAAGACGUAAAUCCACAAACAAUAUAGAAAAGUGGCGCCGUUGUGAAGGGUGAAUCACAACAUACCAUCAUCAACAUCAGCAGCAGUGACGUUAUUUCCCCUUCAUACGGUAAACUAGACAGAGCAAGGGCGUGUUACUCCUGAAGGAAACUAGAGAUGCCGAAAAGAGAAUGAUCAUAUUUCCCCUUCUUACGUUAUAAAUAAUAUGUACACGCUAAAAAGAGCAAGGAAUAAAGAAUAACAUUUUCCCCUUCAUACGGUAAACUAAACAGACCAAGGGCGUGUUACUCCUGAAGAAAACCAGAGAUGCCGAAAAGAGAAUGAUCAGAUCUCCUCCUCUUACGGUAUAGAGAAUAAGGAUACGGUAUGAAGAAUAAGGAAUAAGGAGCCAGAUUUUCCUCUCUAAUGCUAAACUGGACAGUCCAAGGGCGUGUUACUCCUGAAGAAAACUAUAGAUGCCGAAAAGAGAAUGAUCAGAUUUCGUCCUCUUACGGUACAGAGAAUAAGGAUACGAUAUAAAGAAUAAGGAAUAAGGAGUCAGAUUUUCCUCUCUAAUGCUAAACUGGACAGACCAAGGGCGUGUUACUCCUGAAGAAAACUAUAGAUGCCGAAAAAAGAAUGAUCAGAUAUCCUCCUCUUACUGUACAGAGAAUAAGGAUACGGUAUAAAGAACAUAAGAACAUAAGAACGUAUGGAGUCUGCAAGAGUUAAGGAAUAAGGAGUCAGAUUUUCCUCUCUAAUGUUAAACUGGACAGACCAAGGGCAUGUUAGUUACUGUGAAGCUUAUAUACUAAUGAUGCCGAAAAGAGAUACAAGUUUAGUGUACUCGCGUAGUUAUAUAAAACACGUGUAUUUAUGAUAAGACAAAGGUUGAUGUUAGACGCUUCCAUCCCUCACAUCAAAUAUUUCCAGAGGCCGAAAAGGAGAUUAGUCGGGUUAUAAAGAGAGUUCGUUUAGGUUCAUGGUACAGAAGAAGGACCAAGGUGCCAGAAGGAUCAUAAAACUACCCCCGAAAAUGCCCCUAAAAAAAACUCUUACGAUAGCCUAGUAAUGCCCUUAAAAAAAACUCUUUCGAUAGCCUGGUAAAAAAAUGUGGACUUGGGCCGAGAUAUAUUUAAUUAAGAAUAUGACCCAAACUGUAUAGAAAGAACUUGGUGUUAGUUAAGAAAAUACCAAACGGGAGAUAUCUAAUGAAAGCAAAUUUAAACACUGAAAGAACUUGAUUUUGCUGAGUAGAAAACAAAGCGGAAGGCAUGUUUAUAUAAAGAAAAAAAGGACAAACGUGAGAUAUCGAAUAAAAACAAAAUUCCACGUGUAAAGAACUUGAUAUUACCGACUAGACGACUAAAUUAACGGAAGGCGUGUUAUAUAAGGAAAACUGAGGCAAAAACUCUUCGUAGUGAAUUGAGCAGAACAUGUAGCGUUAACCGAGUGGAAAAUUGUUAAGAAAGGAAAGAAGGGAAGAGAGAGAGAGAAGUGGUACCUGACGCGGAAACUCUAAAAUGACACACUGCAGGGAAAGCGAAGAAUUAUUGAGCGUUUAACAGGACGGAAGACGUUAAACACAUGCAAAGGGGAGACUGAAGGGAAGCGAGCGAGUGAACAGGAAGGACGACGAGGGAUAAAAAGAAAAAGAAAGGAAAAAAGAAAGGAAAAAAGAGAGGAAAAGAAAAAAUAUAUAUCCUCGAGGAGACGGAAAAUAGAAAAAAAGAAAAAAAAGGAAGAAAUAAAAGGAAAAUAAAUCAAACUCGAGUUGCUGUUAUUAGAGAAGUUGUUGAGGAUUCGUAUAUGUUACCUCGUUAAUGACUGAAGGGAAGCGAGCGAGUGAACAGGAAGGGAGGAGACGGAUAAAAAGAAAAAAAAGAAAAAAGAAGAAAAAGAAAGGAAAAUAAAAAGGCAAAGAAAAAAUAAAAAAAAUGUAUAUCCUCGCGGAGACGGAAAAU